ensembl:misc_RNA
UUGAGAAAGAAUGGUCAACCCUUCUCUCCCAGACACAAACUAUUUCUUCCCCAGGGCAGAACUUCCCAAUUACCCUUUUCUGUCAUCAUCACCUCCUUCAUGUCUGGGCUCAUCAACAUGUCAGUGAAGUUACCAGGCUUCAAAGUCCCUAGGAGAAUCUGGACCCCACACGGAGGUGAUCAUCUCACACACACACACAG